rnacentral:lncRNA from 1 species
AAACAGUGGUCAACACUAUUGCCAGGCAACAUGAGGAGAGCUGAGAACAGUGGGGAUCUGCAAAUCAAGCCUGCGUCUGGAAACAGCAGUUUUCCCAGCCCAGCCCAUUGCUAGCUCCUGACAAGCUUUUUACCAUUUAUGUAAAAUUAUGUGUGUGUCUGUACAUAGCCACAGAGGGCUAUGAAGAGAGAAUGCCAGCAGGCUCUCCAGCAUCAUCCACUAACACUUUCUAAGAUGACAGAAAUGUGCUACAUCUGCACUGUCCAAAACAGUAGCCGUGAGCCUCCUGAGCUGCUGAGCACUUGGAAUAUGAGUAAAAGUCUUUGCUGGUGCAUCAGAUUGGCAGAGCAUAGAUCACAUGUCUGUGCCCUAGCUGCAAGGGAGUCUAGGUAAGCAAGCCCUCUUCUAACACUUUCAGCUUCUGUUGGGAAGGUGACCAAAAGUUGGGAGCUCCCUGCAAAUAAAAAUGAACUUCAUGUGCUGGGCAGCCAAAAACAAAAGAUUUUUAAAAUAUACAAUAAAUGCCAUUUAAACUAGGGAAAGGCUGGGGAGAAAGGGAAACUAAUGUAAAAUUUUUAAGUAGACCUGGAUUCUGGACUCAUUAAAUACAUUUUAGGGGUAACUAGCUCUCUGAAACCUUGUUUUUGUAUCUGAAAUCAAAGUGUUGAAUCAGAUGAACUCUCUGGAUGUUGAUGCUGUGAAAUGUCACAUUCUCAGAUCAUCUCUGUGGUUGGCAUGACUUGAAACAAAGAAAAAGAAGAUCCCAUAAUUACGCUGAAAAAAUUAUUAUUUUUAUCUUAAGUCACCCCAAAAUUUGUAUUUAGAAAUGGACAAGGUAAACAUUUUUAUAGGAAUUUUUAUUUCUUCCUUUAAAGUAACUUGUCAGUAUUAUACUGUUGGUUAUUGGAUUUGAGAGAAGACCUUCUCUCUCCAGACCCAAAGCCAGUCAUCUUGUGUGCUCUGAAAUGGACCAGACUAUUUUUAAAAGGGAGAGAAAGAGGUGCCAUGAGGUGAUAAAAGGGACAAAAAAAGGUAGACUUUGUUUCUAUAAAAGUUUUUUGGAACAUGAUAGCUUUUUUCAUGUCAGCCAUACUCAGAGAUAAGUGGGAAAAACUCCUGUCUAGUUCUCCCACAUCUGCCAUGAAAGUUACUAGGGUUCUUAUAGGCUUUUCUUCUGAAUUACUAUAGCAUAUAUUUAGGAUUAUCCCUAUUUCAUCUGAAAGUUUUUAUUUAAAUGUACUGCUUGUUUGCACAUGUUUGUUUAAGUUUUGCUGAAAUCUUAAGUAUCAUUCUGUGACUUCUUAAUUUCUCUUCCUGUGGGGGGUGUUUCUCUUACUUCAUAAACUGAAGACAGGGCUUUCCAAAAAUGUUCACAUCCAAGCACUCAUAAAAAUUGUAUUUGUAUCUGAGGUUACUUCAGAUCCUGAGUUGUCCUGGGGACUCCAGCCUAACCACCCUGAAAACUGAGGGCACCAAUGAUGCUGCCAUCUGUCACUUUCGUGGUUCACCAGUGUGUGAGGCACUCCUCAGAAAACUCUGGCCUAAGCCCAUGGGAAAAAUUAAGUUUGAUAUACCAAAGCAGUCUUUACAUACAGUUUUCCAGGGAUGGGUCUGCUAAAGCAUGCAAUAUAUCAGAAAGGAUAGGUUUCAUGACAGUGAAGAGAAUGGCGGACUAGCCCAGAGGUCUGUUUCAGUGAACUGAAAUGGAUGAGGAAGCUGAGGCCCAGAGAGAUAAGUGACUUGGCCUAGGUCACACAGCCACUUGGCAGCAGGCCAGGCCGAGAUUGCCAGGUGAAGAACCCUCUAUCAUUUAGAAGAGGUUUGGCCUCAAACUUAAGCAUUGAUAUCAAAUGCAUUUUAGAAUCUUGGAGUUUUAUUUUUAUCUAAUAAUAGAAUUCUGCAAAUUAUAAUCUUGGGAUUUACCCAAGCAAUUAGUUCAAUGAUUCUUUUGUAAAGUUUGUAGACACUGGGGUUAAAAAGGAACGAAACAGUACUUUAUUUUAAGCAGCUUAAUUAAUGUCUUUAGCUACUCCAUCUAUUUAUCACUUUAUUCUAGAGUGUUUUUGCAAUGCCCAAUUCUUUGGCAGUGCAUAGAGAAACACAGUUAUUAAUUACUAUUAUCAUAAUCACUUCACAAAACAAUAAGUACUCAUACUUCCUAGGAUUGAAAGUUUCACACCAACAUUCCUCCAAGAUAAGCAUCUUUAGAGUAAAAUAUUCAUAUGAAUCAUCAAGAGCUAUUAUUAAACGCUUUUCAGAGUUUCUGAGUCAUUACCUUAAAGAUUUAACUUAGGUUUACUUUGAGAGGAAAAUGGAAGGCUAGCAUUUAAUAUCUUUUCUUCUCCUGUAAGAAGUGCUGGUUCUUGACUAGGCCUCCGUGGGCGGCCUUCCCUACCACUCUUAUGGGGGAAGUAGACUCAGAGGUGCAUUGUGUCUAUAAGGAACAUGUUCAGGCCUCUUCCUCUUUCUGUUAAGGUGGUAUACGAGAAUGGGCUGCUGGUUCCCUUCCCCUAAAUUUACUGCAGAUAGCUCCAGAAGCAGAUGCAAUCAAAGCUCUGAGGAAAUUAUCAGUGACACCCAAAAGGGUGAGAAUGCCCUGGAGAGACAGAAGGCUGUCUAGCGUAGGAGUGUGAGGAAUGAGCGGUGGCAGGCUGGGGCAGACAGCUGGGCAUGUGCAGCAGGCAGAGGGGAUAGUGGAGGAAAGCCUUUGGGUUCUGCCUUUUCCUCUUCACUGCCUGGCUUUAAAUGAAUCCUUGCUGGUCCCUUUGCAAUUGAAACUGGCAGCAUCAACGCAGGCUGCUAGUGUUGUCAGGGUGCAUAAAUGUACUGCAAAAACCCUGUUGGGAUGAGGGUUGAUGAAAACAGGACUGGCCAGCUGAUAUUUAACAUCCACUCAUCCACCUCUUCCACAUCAAACUCCCUGGGAUGGCAGAUUUUAAUCUAGGUGACUAUUGCCCACAGGAGUUGCCCGGCAGAGUGGUACCAAAAAUAGUAGCCUAUCGAAUUCUGUGGUAUCUGGAGCAUCCAGCUCUGGGGUUUAUUCCUUCUCUGUUCUUAAACUCACAUGGAGGGAUUCAGCUCCUGCUUAAAACACAUUACCAGGCAGGGUAGAUUAAAACAGAAACAUGAUUUCCCAGGGUAAUAUAACUGUCUCCUAAAGACAACAAACGUUGACUGGAACUUAUAGAGCAAGAGCUUAAAUAAACAACAAAUAUAACUUAAAGUGAGAAUGUAUUAGCAAUCUGAAGCAGGAAAAGAAUGUUUCAGAGGUAUAUACAUAUGUGAACAUUUAUCAAAUUGUACACUUUAAAUAUGUGCAGUUUAUUUUAUGCAAAGUAUACCACAAUGAAGCUGUUAAAAAGAAAACUAACCACUUACUCACAAAAUAAAAUGCAAAUCUAACAAUAUCACCCUAUUUAACACUCUUCAAUGGUUUCCCAAUUAUCUUAGGAUAAAAUUCAGUCUUUAGAAUGUGGCUUGGAAAGCUUGCAUGAUCUGGUCCCUACUCAAUACAUCCUUUCCAUACCCAAACUCUCAAAUAGGAGACCCAGACAUCUCAAUUUCUUUCGAUUCUUGGGUCUGCCUCCAAGCAUUUGCAUUCUGUUGCUUGUUAGCAUUUUUCCCAUAUUCCACCCCUACACAUACAUAUACACAUUUACCUGGAUAAUUGCUUUAGGAUUCUGCUUAGAUAUCCUUUUCAUGAAGCUCUCACUGACCAUCUCUCCCACCCCCAUGACUGAGUGGAAUCCCUCCUAUGCGCACCUACAGUACUCUGGGCUUCCCAUAUUGCUACAACGUGGGUGUAGUUUAUUUGACCCCACAAGUCUCAUGUUGAAAUUUGAUUCCCAGUGUUGGAGGUGGAGCCUGGUGGGAGGUGUUUGGGUCAUGGGGAUGGACCCCUUAUGAAUGGCUGUCUGAUGCCAUCCUCACUGGGAGUGAGUCCUUAUUCUUUGUUCCAGUCAGAACUCAUUGUUGAAAAGAGCCUAGCACCUCCCUCCCCUCUCUGUCGCUCCCUCUCUCACAAUGUGACACACUGUCUCCUCUUUGCCUUCUGCCAUGAGUGGAAGCAGCCUGAGGCUUCUGCCCACAGCAGAUGCUGGCACCAUGCUUCUUGUACAGCCUGUAGAACUGUGAGUCAAAUAAACCUCUUUUCUUUAUAAGUUACCCAGCCUCAAGUAUUCCUUUAUAGCAACAAAAAUGGAUUAAGACACAUAGCUUAUCAUGUAUCCCUCUGUCUUGUGAGUGCCUGUUUACUUCUCUGAUGCCUCACACCAUCCUGUGAGAAUGUUUGAGAGCAAUAAAUGUCCCUGUCUUGUGUAUCGCAGCUCCAGUGCCUUGGAUACUAUCUAGAAUAUGGUAUAUUUCUUUAAUGAUUCAAUCAAUAAGUCAGUGGAACAUGGAGGAUCCGAGAGUAAGUCUUAAUACCAAAUUUAAAGGAAACCGAGGACAACCCUGUGAAAGGGAGAGAAGCAGGGAAGUACAGGGGUAAGAGCUCAAGCAAUGUCAGGUAGACUUGGGUUCUCAUAUCAGCUCUGUCACUUAGUAAUGUGACCUUGUGGAAGCUCCCUAACCUCACUGUGCCUCACAAUAUCCUCAUCUGUUAAGUGGAGAUAAUAGUGAUACCUAUUUCAUUGGAUUAUUAUGAGGAUAAAAUGAGAUAAUCUGUGUAACUUUAGGUUCAAUGCCUAGUUUGGCCCAAUAAGUGUUAAUUAUAACUAAACAAAACAAUAUCAUAGUGCUUAAGAGCAAAAAGAACUAAAUAAUAACAAAAUCCAGUCAAAUAAAUGUUUCUGGUGUUACCAAAAUGGAAAAGCCAGUUAUAGGUAAGUAGCAGAUUUGAUCAAUGGUAGCUCAAACUUACAGCUUAGCCUUACAGGCUUUCUGUCCAAUUUUCCUGUAGUGUUGGUGAGUCUAAGGGUACUGAAGUUUGUGUUUCAUGUUUUUGGGAUUUCUGAUUUUCUUCAAAACCUUGCUGAAGUAAUAUCUAGAGCUGCGGAGCCCAUAAGAAGGUUCCAGCUAGGGAAGGUAGGGAGGAGAUGCCACUCUCUGCUUACACGUGAAGAAGCCCUUUGCAGUGGAGACUGUGGUGUGUUUCCUGGAACCUCCACUCUAGGACCGAAGCAUUCAUUCCUCCAGCUUCUAGGUGUGUUGAAGUCCAACACUCAGGUGAGACCCUAUCUGGGAAUUUGCCAUGGCUAGAGAGAGCUGCCUCCCCCAAAGUCACUCUCUUCCCAGGGCGGCCUACAUCUAACAGCUGAUUGAAGUGGGAGUACAGAGGCAUCAACCUCUCACACCAGUUGGGCACAUCUCUGAAGGCCAUUCUAGCCCCAGGCCUCCCUGUAGAAUUGACCUCUGUGGUGGGUGCAUAGCAGUUCAGCAUUUCUCUCUGCCCAGUAUGUGCCUGAGAGCACUUAUCAACAAACUCCUUGCCUGCACAUCUCAGGCUCAGAAGCUGCUCUCCUGGAAACUGGACCUGCGACUACCAUCUCUUGACCCACUGGAUGCCUUAAUGCCCAUAUAUCCAGGUGUCACUGGGCAAGCAGUCAAUGCAGAGAUUGGCCACCUUCUCUGAAGCUGAAGCAAUGGGGCAGCAAAGAGUGUCUGCGAUCAGAAGAAGAAAGGAAAAUUGCCACCAUCCUUAGGAAUUUGACAUAUGGAGUUAUAUUUCAGACAACAUUUUGGGGAGAGGCCUUGAGUUUAUUGAAUGAUCAGAAGAAAAAGGUAUUUAGGAUGGAAAUCUGGGAGAUCAAGGCACAGUUGACUGAACCAUUCCAAUUCCAAAUUGUAAGCUCCAUGAGGGUAGGGAUUUUUGUCUAGUUUGUUCAUUGCUGCAUCUCUAGCCAGACCUAAAACAGCAUCUGGCAUAUAAGAGGUACUCAAUCAAUAUUUAGUGAGUCAGUGACUAUGGAAUUCAGCAGAGGAGAGGUGGUCAGGGAAGGAGGCAAACCUAAAAAGCAAAAUGAGAAAUGUGACUUAAUUCAAGUCCUAGAGAGGGAAUGAGGCAGUGAAAUUUGGCGAAUCAGAUCAUGAGCUGUGACCACAGGCAGAUUUGAGUUCAACUCAGGCUUUGCUACUUAGUAGCUCUGUGACUACUGGAAAAAUCAUUUAGCCUCUCCAAGACUCAGUUUUAUCAUCUGUACAAUGGGACUUAUAUUAAAUAUGGUGAUUCUGCAAAUUAAAUAAGGUGAUUUGCAUGACAUAUCUUGUACAUAGUAGACACUCAAUUAUCUGUUCAUAAGGAGGCACAUAUGGUACAUACAUAUGCAUACACACACACACAUGCACACACACGCACAAUCUCAAGGGAUUCUAGGGUAAUAGUGUUUAUAACAUGCUUUCAUAUCCCCAAGAGGAAGAAGUAUGCUACUUCGUCAGUUGUAAAAGGCUUGAUAAUAUAUUGGCUUUAAGGAUGACACAAAUUAAUGCAAAAAACAUGUGAACAAGUGGAGCUUAUAAACUUACGCGGCUGCACCAGCCCAUUACUUUGAGUCCUAACCAUAUGACUAAGUUUUUAGUUGCUUAAGCAAAUAAAUGUUAUCAAACACCCUUUGAAGAACAAGUUAAUUUGAAAUUGAAGUUUUUUCUUAAAUUGACCAUUUGAGAUAUGGCUGCUGAGGUUUAAAUAUUCAGCUUUGACUUAAAGUAGAACAGUUAUGCCAGAUAGAUGAGAGGCCAUUUGACCCUUUUAUCUCUGCCCAAGUAUUCUAAACAACACAAGCUAUGGACACAGAUUGGAUAUGUUUUUAGUUACCACAGUAUAUAAGCUGCACAAUCCAUUUCUGACUUUGGUCUCUUAUUAAAUAUGGGGUGGAAGUGGGUAGGCUGUCAAGAAGAACCAACAAUUUCAUAUAAAUCCUUCAAUUCCAGGGAAUUGUUUGAAAUCAGGCAGAAAAUACAAGUGUCAUUUGUGAACCUUUUAUACUUCAAUUGACAAAAAUAAUCGUAUACUUAAUUUGGAGACAGAGUUCUGCCUUCCAUGACACCCUUAUUGUGGUUCUCUUCCUCUCCUCAUUGAAUGGUAGCCAUGAAAUUUGAUCCUAUCCCUCUUGACACAGUGACGGCUUUAGGUCGCCCAGGUCUCAGUCAAUCAGCUCAAUCCCUUCCUCUGACCACAGGGAUUGGUUCAGGGUGGACCAAUCAUUGCAAACGUAAGGACUGUCUCUUAGAUUCAAAUAAGGGGAACCAGCCUUGAGAUGGAGCCUUCACUAUACAUAUUAGAGUCUAGUGAGACAGAAAAACUGAAUUAUCAAGCCCCUGGAUCAAAUUCCCCUGAAACUCAUAUACCCUGAGAUUUUCCAGUAUACGAACCAAAAAGGUUUAAAUUGGAUUUUCUAUUACUUACAACCAAUGACUUCAUAAAUAAUACAUGUCCAUCAGCAAAUAAAAAUGUAUUUGCAUUUCCAAAACUAUAUUUGACUUCCUACAUUCCAUGACAGGGGGCUCAGCACACAACUCCCUGUAUUGGCACGUAUAAUAAAGGGAGAUAGGCUUACUUAAGCAAAAUGAUUUUUAUUCACAUCGGAAGUGGAGUUUGAGUCCUGAAUUUGCACUUUGUUUGUAUGUGAGCACUGAAUUUGAGCUAUAGAGUUCCAGUCAUUAUGGCUGCCUCCAUGAGUAGUAAUUAAGCAGUUACUGCUCAGAAAGUCAUGCAGAAUCAGAAUUAGAUCUGGCACCCACCUGACAGGUCCAACAUCAAUGAGGCAACCAGACAGGCAAAACACCUUAAUAUCCAUUAGCCAAUGAAUAGGUCAGUAGAAAUUAAGGGUGAGUGCCCAUACUUCUACAGGGUUAACUUCAAAAGGUCAGUUUUCUAGCUUGCUUUGUCAACAAGAAAGGGAAGAUGGGUUUGCUUAAGGAAGUUCGGAAUGAAGUUUAUUAGUGAACUUACCCACCCUUUUCUUCCUGUCCAUUUUGUUUGGUCUUCCAUAAUUGGCAAGCAGCAUUUAUUAAUACAUGUUCCUGACAUAAAGCUAUGAAGUAGGUUUUCCUCUUCUAGUAAGAAAUUCGGUCAAAACCACCCAGGUGCCCACAUCUCAAUUAAAAACAAAAAGACAGGAAACAAUUGGGUAGUUCUACUAGUUUUUAAUAUUCUGUUUUUUCACAGCCCAGAAUGUUCUAAUUGGGAAUGACAAGAUUGCAGAUCACAGGCAGAGCUGGGAGGUUUUCAGCCAAAUUUAAUGAUACCUGAAAAAUCCACCAUUCUUCCAAUGGGCUUGGUUUACUGGAAAUAACACCUGCUGUAAAUAACUUACAUCUUAGUAUAUGGGAUAAAUUGCAUGAAUAGUUUUUUGUUGGUUUGUUUGUUUUUUGAGAUGGAGUGUCACUCUUAUUGACCAGGCUGGAGUGCAACGGCAUGAUCUCAGCUCACUGCAAACUCUGCCUCCUGGGUUCAAGUGAUUCUCUGGCCUUAGCCUCCCAAGUAGCUGGGAUUACAGGAGUAUGCCACCAUGCCUGGGUAAUUUUAUAUUUUUAGUAGAGUUGGGGUUUCACCAUGUUGGUCAGGCUAGUUUCGAACUCCUGACCUCAAGUGAUCCACCCACCUUGGCCUCCCAAAGUGCUGGGAUUAUACGCGUGAGCCACCAGGCCCGGCUGCAUGAAUAGUUUUAAUUCUCCACCUCUCCUUGUAUCUAUUCCCACCUGUUAGCAUUUGACUUUGAAGUUCCUCUUACCAAAAGGCAGAAUAUAUUUCCCUGCCUCUUAACUUUGGGUUCAGCCAUGUGACUUGCUUUCACCAAUGGAAUGUUAGUGGGUGUGGUAUCACUAAUGGCUGGAAAAGCACUUGUGUAAUUGUUCCUUGCUUCACUGCUGUAACCAAGAGAUGAACAUCUUGAUCUAGCCCACUGGUCCCAGGAGAAGGAUGAGAAACACAUGCAGCAGAAUCAGUCCCAGCCAAGCCCAACCCAGAAUAGCUAACUCCAGGCCAGCUGGAGGGCUGCAGACACACAAGCUAAAUAGAUGAUUAUGUUGCUCACUGCUGACAUUGUGUGUUGUUAUAGAGCAUGAUUGUGGUAAUUGUUAAUUAAUGGAAUGUCAAUUAAUUGUUAUUUAAUAAAAUCCAGGGUGCCCCAUGCCUCCUUCUGAACAUAAUUUUGUUUCCAUUUUAGUAAUGCCUCUGUCGCUCCAUUUUUUAUCCUUGAAACUUUGUGGUUUUUCCCCGAUACUAACUUAAUACCUUGACAUCCAAUACAGAGCUCCAAGGGAAAUGUGGCUUGCCUAAGAUUUUUAGCAAAGACUUUUGUUAUACCAUUGGCUAUAACAUAUGAACUUGCAGGCUUAACCUGCCCACUACAACAAACAUAUGACAAAUUGCCACCAGCUGUCAUACUAGCAGAUCUGCAGUGACGAUUUACUAAUUUAAUUCCCUUAAAAUGUUAUAAUGGGCCAAGUGUGGUGGCUCAUGCCUGUAAUCUAAACACUUUGGGAGGCUGAGGCAGGUGAAUGACUUGAGCCCAGGAA